rnacentral:lncRNA from 1 species
GAUGGUUAACUUUAGGAAUUAGAGACAAAAAAGCUACAUAAAUUGCUUCCAAAAUUUCUAGAUGUAGGUUUUCUUAAUUAUGUGUCUGCAAUAUUACCAUAUGAAGCAGUCAAUGUGUCUAAAAAAUUCAGAUCUGCUACAAUAUUUCCAUCUUCAAAUCUAGCCAUCCGAACAUAUCCUUGUUCCAUUGUCGGAGUCUUUCUUUGAUCACUUUUGAUUUUUCCUUCAGAAUGAAACCCUUUCUACUGUGACAUUAAAACUUUUCCAACAACCUUCCACAAAUUUUUCAGAAAAUCCUAGUGUUCAAUCCAACAGUUGUUGAAUAUAAAUGGUUUUGAUCCCCAAAUAAUAGUAUAACUUUUCAACCAAAUUGGACAGUGAUCAGAGAUGUCUCUAUCACCAACCUAUUGCCCCACCACCUUCAGCAUAUCCACUGUAUCCUUUGAUUAAAAAAAUCGGUCCAACCUACCCAUAGAUUGAUCGUCUGUGCUGAACCAAGUGAACCAUUUUCCCAAAAGAGGGACAUCUAUUAAUUUAGUUUCUUCAAUGAACUACUUGAAUUCUACUUUCUUUGCCCUUCUCAACUAAUUGUGUGUUCCUUUUCUC